rnacentral:rRNA from 1 species
GUUACAGGCUUAACACAUGCAAGUCGAGGGGCAGCAUGGUCUUAGCUUGCUAAGGCCGAUGGCGACCGGCGCACGGGUGAGUAACACGUAUCCAACCUGCCGUCUACUCUUGGACAGCCUUCUGAAAGGAAGAUUAAUACAAGAUGGCAUCAUGAGUCCGCAUGUUCACAUGAUUAAAGGUAUUCCGGUAGACGAUGGGGAUGCGUUCCAUUAGAUAGUAGGCGGGGUAACGGCCCACCUAGUCUUCGAUGGAUAGGGGUUCUGAGAGGAAGGUCCCCCACAUUGGAACUGAGACACGGUCCAAACUCCUACGGGAGGCAGCAGUGAGGAAUAUUGGUCAAUGGGCGAGAGCCUGAACCAGCCAAGUAGCGUGAAGGAUGACUGCCCUAUGGGUUGUAAACUUCUUUUAUAAAGGAAUAAAGUCGGGUAUGGAUACCCGUUUGCAUGUACUUUAUGAAUAAGGAUCGGCUAACUCCGUGCCAGCAGCCGCGGUAAUACGGAGGAUCCGAGCGUUAUCCGGAUUUAUUGGGUUUAAAGGGAGCGUAGAUGGAUGUUUAAGUCGGUUGUGAAAGUUUGCGGCUCAACCGUAAAAUUGCAGUUGAUACUGGAUAUCUUGAGUGCAGUUGAGGCAGGCGGAAUUCGUGGUGUAGCGGUGAAAUGCUUAGAUAUCACGAAGAACUCCGAUUGCGAAGGCAGCCUGCUAAGCUGCAACUGACAUUGAGGCUCGAAAGUGUGGGUAUCAAACAGGAUUAGAUACCCUGGUAGUCCACACGGUAAACGAUGAAUACUCGCUGUUUGCGAUAUACAGCAAGCGGCCAAGCGAAAGCGUUAAGUAUUCCACCUGGGGAGUACGCCGGCAACGGUGAAACUCAAAGGAAUUGACGGGGGCCCGCACAAGCGGAGGAACAUGUGGUUUAAUUCGAUGAUACGCGAGGAACCUUACCCGGGCUUAAAUUGCAGAUGAAUUACGGUGAAAGCCGUAAGCCGCAAGGCAUCUGUGAAGGUGCUGCAUGGUUGUCGUCAGCUCGUGCCGUGAGGUGUCGGCUUAAGUGCCAUAACGAGCGCAACCCUUGUUGUCAGUUACUAACAGGUUCCGCUGAGGACUCUGACAAGACUGCCAUCGUAAGAUGUGAGGAAGGUGGGGAUGACGUCAAAUCAGCACGGCCCUUACGUCCGGGGCUACACACGUGUUACAAUGGGGGGUACAGAGGGCCGCUACCACGCGAGUGGAUGCCAAUCCCCAAAACCUCUCUCAGUUCGGACUGGAGUCUGCAACCCGACUCCACGAAGCUGGAUUCGCUAGUAAUCGCGCAUCAGCCACGGCGCGGUGAAUACGUUCCCGGGCCUUGUACACACCGCCCGUCAAGCCAUGGGAGCCGGGGGUACCUGAAGUGCGUAACCGCGAGGAGCGCCCUAGGGUAAAACUGGUGACUGGGG